rnacentral:misc_RNA from 1 species
CUGCCCUCAAGCACGGCUUGUGUGUUGGGCCCCCGUCCCCCUCUUUUUUAGGGGGGGGGGGACGGGCCCGAAAGGCAGCGGCGGCACCGUGUCCGGUCCUCGAGCGUAUGGGAAGCAACUCUUUUUGUCACCCGCUCCUGUAGGUCCGGCCGGCGGCCUGCCCAACCCUCAAUCAAUCUUUUUUAACCA